GUUAGUGAAUUUUCAUUGUUUAAGAAUACCCAAAAAGAUGAAAAAUAAACUUGUUGUUCUAGUAACUUUAUUCUGAUUUCAAUUAAUGUGCAAUUUGUCAACUGCACAUUAAAAGAUGACAAAAAAUUGAUAUGCCAAACUUUCAAAACCAAAUUGAAGAAAGCACAAGUAUUUCUAAGAGACAGAGUCGCAAAGCAACAGCUUGUCUAGGACCUCCUGGACUUCCGGGCAGGGAUGAAAAAUCAUUGUGGAGCUGAAGGAAAGCAAUUUCACUCAUUUGUCUCUGAAUAAAUUUGAUGGAAGCCAUCGAUUGGAUGAAAUAUGAAAACAAAGCAUAUGAUUGGAUGAAACUGACUAAAAAUAUCACAGACUACACUGCAAGAGUUUACUUGUAACUGCAAUAGCUGACAGAGGAUAGGUUUUCGUCCUAUAAAAAAACGUAAAAUAAUGUACAUCGCUACUCUCCAGAUUAUUUUACUUUUUCUAAUAAAAGUCAUCUACUGCAAUUAUAAUGAUGACAAAAAUGCCAUGUUGAAGUUAAAAGACAAAGCAAAAGAAAGUAUUUUUAAGAGACAGAAUAGCAAAGUAACAAGUUGUCGAGGACUUCCAGGACUUCCAGGCAGAGAUGGACGUGAUGGCAGAGAUGCUUUAUUGCGUG